CACGUAGGGGCCAAGCGUUGUCCGGAUUUAUUGGGCGUAAAGAGCUCGUAGGCGGUUCGACAAGUCGGGUGUGAAAACUCCGGGCUCAACCCGGAGACGCCACCCGAUACUGUCGUGACUGGAGUCCGGUAGGGGAGUGGGGAAUUCCUGGUGUAGCGGUGAAAUGCGCAGAUAUCAGGAGGAACACCUAUGGCGAAGGCAGCUCGCUGGGACGGUACUGACGCUGAGGCGCGAAAGCGUGGGGAGCAAACAGG
rnacentral:rRNA from 1 species